rnacentral:lncRNA from 1 species
CCCCGCCCCGCCCCUCCUCCUUCUGUCUACCUUUUCGUGUUUUCACUUUUCUUGGUUCCUCGGAAUUCAAGUUCCCCACAGGAGAAAUUGAAGGCACUAGGCAACACAACAAUGGCGAAUGACCUUUUUCAAGAUCUGCUGCCGCCAUCUGUUUCUAAUUCCGAACAAAAUGCACUAUCUUCAAACAACAAUAAUAUCAGAUUCAGCAGCGCUCAAGAAUCUGUACCAAUCCCACCUCCUCCCGCUCCUGCACAUAAGAGCGCUCUCAAACGUCCUAAGCCACCUCCUGAAUCACAGCCCCAAGGUAUUUCAUAUCAUUCCCUUGCAAAAUUCAAUUUUAUUGAUUUUUACUUGUCGAGCCUUCUGGAUUUGGUUA